GCAAUUUUUAAAUCAUUAUACAACAACAAUAAUAUAUGUACAGAAAAUCUUCCUCAAUACCUUUGUUGACAUCUGCCUAAGUUUUUUUGACCUGUAUUUUUCCGUUUACAACAAUUUUUAAGGUAUUGAAAUAAGAGAAAUUGCACUCCCUAUACAAAGAUAAGUGCUAUAUUUGCAUCGAUGGAAAAAUCAGUUUUAUGCUAAGCUGUUUUUUUUUUAAUUGUCAUUUUGCCCCUAUCCAACAUAAUCAAAACUUAUAGAGAAAUUGCACUCCCUAUACAAAGAUAAGUGCUAUAUUUGUAUCGAUGGAAAAAUCAGUUUUAUGUUGAGCUGUUUUUUUUAAUUGUCAUUUUGCCCCUAUCCAACAUAAUCAAAACAUAUAUCUAUCUAAAUUAUUCUUUUCUCUUUCUUCUGUUCGAAACUCCAUCUUAUUUCCUCUUUCUCUCUCUCUUGAACCUAGAAAUCUAAGCCUUUAAGAAAAGUAAAAUCUUUCCUUCUUUGAUUCGUCUAUGGAAAGCGAACAAACAAAAAAAGAAAGUAAUUUUGAAGAAGAGGAAAGAGGAAAGAGCAAAGCUUUGAUUUUGAAUUUGCUCAAGGGGAGAAGAGAAGUUGGUCUCUUGUGUUCUUGUGUCAAAGCUUUGAUCUGAGUUAGUGCAGAUUCGGUUUGGAUUAGAUUGUGAAGGAAACAGAGUACUAAGAUGUGCUCGGCGUUACAGAGUCUGAGAUCAAGAAAGCUUACUACAUCAAGUUCAUCCAGAUAAGAACCCUAAUGAUCCUCAAGCUGCACACAGUUUCCAGGCAAAUUCAUUUGUUAAAUUUUUUGUUGGACUCUGUUGGACUCCAACCACAUCAGCCUCAUAACUUUUUGGGAGACAGAGUCAUGGUGUAAAACUCUUCGUCUUGCUUCUUUGUGGUUGUGGCUGAUAAAAUAAUUAGUUCUACUUAAAAAGUUUUAUCCAGGUAACAAUGCUUUCAAUUAUAUGUUAUUGCACAUUUUGGACCAAGAAGACUACAAUUACGACCUCUGAGUUACAAUGGCGUAUAUGUUUUCAUUCGUGCU